UGGUGAUUUAUUGCUGGGGCCAUUUUGACAACAGAAAUAACCAGUUUCCCCACCUUCUCGGCCCCCUCCCCCCACACCUUGCUGUUGUUGCGUGGGGGGGGGGCGGGGAGGGUUGUGCUGUGGGGGUUAUCUCCCUGCCUAAGGAGGCUGGAGCAUCUGUUUAACGCACACAGUGAGGUAUCUGGCUUAUUAACUUGUCAUCAUGUGUCAUAAAGUUUAGUGAAAUGCUGGCAGAUUGUAAUCCUAAACACGGCAAUUACCCUAUUAUUAAAACGGCUUUCUUUCUUUCUCUUUUCUCUCUCUUUAUUUUUCUUUCUCUCCCCCCCCCACCUCCGCCCCAUUCUUUUUCCUGGUCGGGUCUGUUCUUACCUCUGUCUCACUUGCUUGAUUAGUCACGGGCAGGAGCCUCCUGCGUGGCAAUCGUGCCCGAGUAAAGCAGGCCUUGGCUAGGCCGAGCUCACGGGAGAGCAGACAGGGGGCGAGUGGAGCACCUUGCUUCUUGCUGCAGCGAGCUAGCCCGGCUCAUGGGCCUGAUGAACUGAUCCAGGCCAGGCAAUGCAAAGCAGGAGCUGCGGUGGGGGGGGGGGGUGGGGGAGGGGGGGGUGGUUUCUGGCUCCCCAGGCCUGGGUGGAGUGAGCAGAGAAGACAAACUUGCCGGCCGGCCUACCAGAGCUUCCACUGCCUUUAGAGCUUGCCUGGGUCUCUCUCCAGAGUUGACCUCCCUUGGCCUUUUAUGAGCUCACUUUUGGAUCUGGAACUAGAGGUGAAGAACAGAAAAGGCAGGAAGCAGUGGGAUGGUGGAUGGUGGGAGGGGGAGCAGAGCAGAAGGGGAGGAAUAGGUCAUCUGAGUCCUGGCUGACCCCUUACUGGCUGGAGACCGGGUUUCUACAUUCAUAGAAUGGAGUGAUGAUUCUCGCCCUGUCCACUUCAUGCGGUUCUAGGGAGGAUCAUAUCAGAUAACGGGCCCGAGAGAAGAUGGUUGAUAGUAAAUCAUUCCGCAUGUUUGAGGAGAUUGUCAUUUCAUAUGGGCCGUGGCAGGGUCUGAAUUCACGGCUGAAGGAGCCUCAACUCCUGUUACUGCAAAGGGUUGUCCACGCUGGGUGGUCAUUGGAGAGUUUGCCGCUGCUGACCAGCUGGCCGUCAGUCCUGGAGCACCGAGAGGAGUGGAGGAUGCACAAGGACUGCAGUGGAGACGCUGCUGUCCCCCUCCCCUGAGCCCACUGGGACCUCUGGCUUUGCUGGCUGCGUGUGGUCCUGCCACACACUGACUGGCUCCCACUCCCAUGGGGCUAUGCCAAGGUGAGGCCUACCUUUGCCCCCCCCGAAUUCAGAGGGAGGGGAAGGCCUGUGGUCCCCCACCUUUACAGGCAAGUUCAGAUGGCCUGAGCUAAUAGAUGUCGCUAACCAAUUAUGUGAUCUUGGCAGCUCACUUCACCUCAUUGUGACUCACGUGAAGGAUGCGGGUAUCACACAUAACCUUGUCGGGUGGUUGGGAACCUGCCCACUGGUCAGGUGCUUGGGUAGUAAGGGCUACUAUAAUAGGAUAAUGGAUGGCAGGUGUUUUGUAAACCUUAGGGUGAUAGGAGCAAGUCAGUUCCCAUGAUGAGGACUCCUACUCCGUUAUCGGGCUCACUUUCCAAGUUCUUUUAGAAGCUCUUUUAGAGUAGCCCCCUUCUCUGAGGAAGCUCCAGGGGCAAAUGCUCCUGACCCCUGCCUGGAAGGACCAGAUCCCCGGGUCAUAGGGUCAGGUGGGCCUCUUUUGUCCAAGGAUCAAGGGGGUGAAGAAGAGUCCCCUGCUUCGGUGUGGUCUGCCAAAAGCCACGCCACACUCCCCUCCACUUGAGGAGGUUGCUAGGUCCUUGCUCUGCGUGCAAGCUCUGUGCCUGGCCCAAGGGUCAGCCCCAUGUAGCAGGGCCACACAGAUGUCAAACCUGAAAUGCAGCUCUCUGGCUUUGCUGGUUCCAGUUCUGAUAGGCAUCUCCAGAGGCUGGUGAUAAGGAUGAUGGGCAGGUUGAGCGCUUUUCCUCCUUGUACUGGUAACUGCUGUGCGAUAGCAGCUCUGUAAUUGCUCAAUAAAACUCCCCCCACCGCCCAGGAUAGAUUUAUGGCCAAAAUGCAUUAUCUGAACUGAGCAUAUUUCAUCUGAGUGUACCUGGGUGUGUGUGGGAUGGGGAGGGAGAACAGACUGUCUGGAGACAGUUUCCGGGGGUGCUCAGGAAAUUCCUGCCCCCUCCUUUCCCCGAAGUGUUGUCUGGAAGCUCUUUCUAGAUCUGUCAGGACUUACAUGUCAUGGAUCUUCUCCUGAACCUAAAACUAUGUAGACACCCCAGGGAUGGGAGUGAUGAGGAAGACUGUGGCCUGGACAAGUUUAAUUUAGUUCAGUUCAGCAAAUUAAAUAGUGCCCAUUCUUGCCGAGGGCUAGGAAAGCUAUUAUUGUUAUUUAGCAGGGGGGGAAGGAGGGAAAGGCCUUGAGAAGGUGAAGAGAGAUGACAAGGAGCUUUUUUUCUUUUUUUUAAAGAUUUUAUUUAUUUAUUCAUGAGAGAUGAGAGAGAGUCAGAGACACAGGCAGAGGGAGAAGCAGAUUCCCUGUGGGGAGCCUGAUGUGGGACUCGAUCCCAGGACCCCGGGAUCAUGACCUGAGCCAAUGGCAGAUGCUCAACCACUGAGCCACCCAGGUGACAAGGACCUUUUCUCUAGCUGCUAGAGGUGCCUGAUACACCAACAUUGGCUGGUGGGAGUGGGGUGGGGGCAGGAGGGGUGGGGACAGCCACG
rnacentral:lncRNA from 1 species